UACGUAUGGUGCAAGCGUUAUCCGGAUUUACUGGGUGUAAAGGGAGCGUAGACGGAGUGGCAAGUCUGAUGUGAAAACCCGGGGCUCAACCCCGGGACUGCAUUGGAAACUGUCAAUCUGGAGUACCGGAGAGGUAAGCGGAAUUCCUAGUGUAGCGGUGAAAUGCGUAGAUAUUAGGAGGAACACCAGUGGCGAAGGCGGCUUACUGGACGGUAACUGACGUUGAGGCUCGAAAGCGUGGGGAGCAAACAGGAUUAGAUACCCUGGUAGUCCACGCCGUAAACGAUGACUACUAGGUGUCGGGCAGCAAAGCUGUUCGGUGCCGCAGCAAACGCAAUAAGUAGUCCACCUGGGGAGUACGUUCGCAAGAAUGAA
rnacentral:rRNA from 1 species